rnacentral:misc_RNA from 1 species
UCCGGUUUGUCACCGGCAGUCUCCCUAGAGUGCCCUUGCGUUGCAACUAAGGACAAGGGUUGCGCUCGUUGCGGGACUUAACCCAACAUCUCACGACACGAGCUGACGACAGCCAUGCAGCACCUGUGUCCCGGUUCCCUUUCGGGCACUCCCCCAUCUCUGGGGGAUUCCGUACAUGUCAAGGGUAGGUAAGGUUUUUCGCGUUGCAUCGAAUUAAUCCACAUAAUCCACCGCUUGUGCGGGUCCCCGUCAAUUCCUUUGAGUUUUAAUCUUGCGACCGUACUCCCCAGGCGGGAUGCUUAAAGCGUUAGCUGCGCCACUGACAGGCAAGCCUGCCAACGGCUAGCAUCCAUCGUUUACGGCGUGGACUAC